CUUCUUGUUGAUGUUGGUGAUUGAAUUGAUAUAUAUGUGAUUAAAAUAUAUUAAAUUAAAAUGAAAUUUUAGAUAAUUUAUAAUAAAUAUAGUUGAGAUAAUGUUAGUUGACGAGGUAAUGUGAAAUACGCUAUAUAUUCAAUAACGGAAAAGCGAAAUACGAACAAAAAUUAGAUGCGAUUUUCACAUGUCUUUAGAUUCUAAUGGUUUGUUUUGGAAGAAACAUGUUUCCCAUGUGCAUUUUGAUUUUAUAGGACCAUGCUUUUAAAACAAAACGACAUUAGAAACUUGUUGAAUCGCCGAAACUAUACUUUGACUCCUAAUUUGAACACGUUUGGUAUUCCAUGCCAUUUUGUUUGUCAAUUUCGCAGUCUUUGUCACAUGCAAUUCUUUUAUUACGUUCUUCAUGAUUUAAAAUUUAUGAAAAUGGGAUUUUUUUUUUUAA
rnacentral:misc_RNA from 1 species